GUGUCAGCCGCCGCGGUAAUACGGAGGUGGCAAGCGUUGUCCGGAUUUAUUGGGCGUAAAGCGAGCGCAGGUGGUUUCUUAAGUCUGAUGUGAAAGCCCACGGCUCAACCGUGGAAGGUCAUUGGAAACUGGGGAACUUGAAUGCAGAAGAGGAGAGUGGAAUUCCAUGUGUAGCGGUGAAAUGCGUAGAUAUGUGGAGGAACACCAGUGGCGAAGGCGGCUCUCUGGUCUGUAACUGACGCUGAGGCGCGAAAGCAUGGGUAGCGAACAGGAUUAGAAACCCGCGUAGUCC
rnacentral:rRNA from 1 species